GCAGUAUCUAUAUAAGGCAAGUGAAGUAGGUUUACAAGUCUUAUACUCAUCUAGAAAUUUCUUCAUUGUAUUCCAAGUCAAUAGGAGAAGUUACAAACAUUAGCCAUGAGGGUAUUAUUAUUUAUUACAUCGAUUUUAGUAAUUAUUGCAUGGGUAAAUACACUACCACUGGGGUUGUGUACACAUAUAUGCCCACCUAAAUUUAAGCCUGUUUGCAGCAAAGAUGGAAGUACGUACCGCAAUAUAUGUAUCAUGAAGUGUCGCGGUAGAGCAUUUAAUUACCCAGGAUACUGUCGACCUCCUGGUUCCUCUGAUCACAAUCAAAGUUCUACUACUACUACUACUACUGUGAAGCAGUAAGCAGCACAGAGAAACCAUCAUGAAGCCAAUAAAAAGUCAAUCACUUUGUGUUUGAAGUAUUUUACGUAUUAUAUUUAAAUGAAUUUCUAAACUAUGUAUAACAAUAAAUAAAUCAAGCAACAAUAA